AGCUCAGUCGGUAGAGGAUGAGACUCUUAAUCUCAGGGUCGUGGGUUCGUGCCCCAC
rnacentral:tRNA from 1 species